rnacentral:rRNA from 1 species
AGCAGCCGCGGUAAUUCCAGCUCCAAUAGCGUAUAUUAAAGUUGUUGCAGUUAAAAAGCUUGUAGUUGAAUUUCGGGGUUAGUAGGCUGGUCAUGCCACAGGUAUGUACUGGUCUCACUGAUUCCUCCUUCCUGAUGAUCCGUAAUGCCAUUAAUUUGGUGUUGCGAGGAAUCUGGACUGUUACUUUGAAAAAAUUUGAGUGUUUAAAGCAGGCUAACGCUUGAAUACAUUAGCAUGGAAUAAUGAAAUAGGACGUUCGAUCCUAUUUUGUUGGUUUCUAGGAUUGACGUAAUGAUUAAUAGGGAUAGUUGGGGGCAUUAGUAUUCAAUUGUCAGAGGUGAAAUUCUUGGAUUUAUUGAAGACUAACUACUGCGAAAGCAUUUUGCCAAGGAUUGUUUUCAUUAAUACAAGAACGAAGUUAGGGAUCGAAGACGAUCAGAUACCGUGUAGUCUAACCAUAAACUAUCNCCGACGUAGGGNUCGGAUGGUAUUAGUUUAAUUUUUUAAUGUACUUCUAUUC